rnacentral:rRNA from 1 species
UUUUAUAUGAGAGUUUGAUCCUGGCUCAGGAUGAACGCCGGCGGUGUGCCUAAUACAUGCAAGUCGAACGCGUUGGCCCAAUUGAUUGAUGGUGCUUGCACCUGAUUGAUUUUGGUCGCCAACGAGUGGCGGACGGGUGAGUAACACGUAGGUAACCUGCCCAGAAGCGGGGGACAACAUUUGGAAACAGAUGCUAAUACCGCAUAACAGCGUUGUUCGCAUGAACAACGCUUAAAAGAUGGCUUCUCGCUAUCACUUCUGGAUGGACCUGCGGUGCAUUAGCUUGUUGGUGGGGUAACGGCCUACCAAGGCGAUGAUGCAUAGCCGAGUUGAGAGACUGAUCGGCCACAAUGGGACUGAGACACGGCCCAUACUCCUACGGGAGGCAGCAGUAGGGAAUCUUCCACAAUGGGCGCAAGCCUGAUGGAGCAACACCGCGUGAGUGAAGAAGGGUUUCGGCUCGUAAAGCUCUGUUGUUAAAGAAGAACACGUAUGAGAGUAACUGUUCAUACGUUGACGGUAUUUAACCAGAAAGUCACGGCUAACUACGUGCCAGCAGCCGCGGUAAUACGUAGGUGGCAAGCGUUAUCCGGAUUUAUUGGGCGUAAAGAGAGUGCAGGCGGUUUUCUAAGUCUGAUGUGAAAGCCUUCGGCUUAACCGGAGAAGUGCAUCGGAAACUGGAUAACUUGAGUGCAGAAGAGGGUAGUGGAACUCCAUGUGUAGCGGUGGAAUGCGUAGAUAUAUGGAAGAACACCAGUGGCGAAGGCGGCUACCUGGUCUGCAACUGACGCUGAGACUCGAAAGCAUGGGUAGCGAACAGGAUUAGAUACCCUGGUAGUCCAUGCCGUAAACGAUGAGUGCUAGGUGUUGGAGGGUUUCCGCCCUUCAGUGCCGGAGCUAACGCAUUAAGCACUCCGCCUGGGGAGUACGACCGCAAGGUUGAAACUCAAAGGAAUUGACGGGGGCCCGCACAAGCGGUGGAGCAUGUGGUUUAAUUCGAAGCUACGCGAAGAACCUUACCAGGUCUUGACAUCUUGCGCCAACCCUAGAGAUAGGGCGUUUCCUUCGGGAACGCAAUGACAGGUGGUGCAUGGUCGUCGUCAGCUCGUGUCGUGAGAUGUUGGGUUAAGUCCCGCAACGAGCGCAACCCUUGUUACUAGUUGCCAGCAUUAAGUUGGGCACUCUAGUGAGACUGCCGGUGACAAACCGGAGGAAGGUGGGGACGACGUCAGAUCAUCAUGCCCCUUAUGACCUGGGCUACACACGUGCUACAAUGGACGGUACAACGAGUCGCGAACUCGCGAGGGCAAGCAAAUCUCUUAAAACCGUUCUCAGUUCGGACUGCAGGCUGCAACUCGCCUGCACGAAGUCGGAAUCGCUAGUAAUCGCGGAUCAGCAUGCCGCGGUGAAUACGUUCCCGGGCCUUGUACACACCGCCCGUCACACCAUGAGAGUUUGUAACACCCAAAGUCGGUGGGGUAACCUUUUAGGAGCCAGCCGCCUAAGGUGGGACAGAUGAUUAGGGUGAAGUCGUAACAAGGUAGCCGUAGGAGAACCUGCGGCUGGAUCACCUCCUUUCU